UACAGAGGGGGCAAGCGUUGUUCGGAAUUACUGGGCGUAAAGGGCGCGUAGGCGGCCUUCUAAGUCGAACGUGAAAUCCCCGGGGCUCAACCCGGGAACUGCGUCCGAUACUGGAAGGCUUGAAUCCGGGAGAGGGAUGCGGAAUUCCAGGUGUAGCGGUGAAAUGGCGUAGAUAUCUGGAGGAAUCACCGGUGGCAAAGGCGG
rnacentral:rRNA from 1 species